ensembl:lncRNA
AUUAUGGAGGGGCCUAAAGCCACUGAGCACAGUGACCAGGAACAGUCCAUGAGACCGGUUGUGUUAAAAGACAAUAAUUGCGUUACAGAAGCGUCCGUUUAUCAUCCACUUCCUCCUCAGCGCUAAUAGACUAGAGGAUCUGUAAAACCCGAGGGAUGUGUGCCACAUGUUUGCUGUGUUUCAAUGACUUUGUGUCCACAGCUGCUGUGCAGGGCAUCAGCUGGACUAUAAACUCAUGAACGUCUUCAAGCUGGGUUUCAGUGACAGAGCGAGAUGAAGACAGACCGAGAGAUAAUUAUCACUCCUGCGUCUGAGUUUUCUCCACAGUCGCUUUAUCUUCAGUGUGUUUGAAACGGCUGAAUAGUUGAGGUUUGCAAACGGGCUGUUUGCAUUGUCUCUACAUACAACAGUUAAUUGUUUGUGUGCUGCCUGGAGAUGAGACGAGACGAGACGACCUGUGUUUUUGUGAGCUGCCAAUUGUAGAUUUUGUU